AAGCCAGCAAAUAUAACUACAAAUUAACCUGAAAUUGCUACAUGGUUUUCAUAAUUUUGCAUUAUAACUCCACAAAUCUAGAGGAAAAUAUCCAUGACAAACCAAUAUUUCCAGUUUGCCAUCUGGAGUUCAACUAAACAAAAAACUGAACCAAAUAAAACCCAUAAAUGUAUAGGACACUACUUCACUUUGGGACCACUUUUCUUCACUGCAAGACAAGGACGACAGAAACAAAACCCAGCUGAAUACGAAAACUUCCCACAAGUGCAUGCUGACCAUGGGAUGGGUCUUAAAAUGAUUCCUGGGUGUGUAAAUCAGAAGAAAUCCUAAAGCUCGUCUGUGGGGAGCAUAGCAAUGAAAGUAGCUGCCACGCUCUGCAGCCACCUAAGUUGCUAUUAGACAGGAAACUUUAAAGUUUUGCCACUAAGCAUUAUUGCCACAUUUCUUACUUAGCUUAGGAUGCAUGGUUGAUUAUUUUUUUGUACUUGCUCUCUGCUCAGGAAAAGACUAUUCCUUGUUUUGGUGCUUGUGGAUGGUAGGCACCCAUGCUUUUCAGCAGCACUCCAGAAUGGAAAUGCCUUUUCAAUACAGGCUGCUUAUGUGUUUGCGGGCUGAAAUCAAGCUCCCUACCUACGGCUGGCUCCCCAAUUCCCAGGACAAUCACACUGACACAAUUAAAUUCUCCCUCUUAUGUGACAGAACUAUACGCAACGAAAUGUUCUGCAAUCUAAUGAUUGAUAUAGACAGUCCAAAGUUGCCAGGUAGUCCGUCCCAGCUCUCCAGAAUAACUCUGAUGAUUUUUUUCCCCACUCAGUGUCAGGGAGCAGUUAUCAUCUGCUGUGCUGGGGAAAUCACUCACAGGGGCCCGUGUCUGCCAGUUACAAUGGGACAGUGGAAUCAGCACAUACAUUCAGUUGGCCUGAUAAGCCACUAACUGAUAAGCAAUUGCUAGACAAACUGUAAGCUACUUAUAUAUGAAGAUGGGGAAGUGUCCAUAGGGAAAGACAUGAGGAGCAGCUGAGAUCCCUUGGUUUGUUCAGCUCAGAGCAGGGAAGGCUGAGGGGAAGAUUCAUGGCGGCCUACAGCUCAUCAUGGCGGCCUACAGCUCAUCAUGGCGGCCUACAGCUCAUCAUGGCGGCCUACAGCUCAUCAUGGCGGCCUACAGCUCAUCAUGGCGGC
rnacentral:lncRNA from 1 species